GACAGAGGCCCCAAGCGUUAGGCGGAAUCACUGGGCUUAAAGCGUGUGUAGGCGGAUCGUUAAGUGUCUUGUGAAAUCCCACGGCUCACCCGUGGAACUGCUGGGCAUACUGGCGAUCUUGGGCCAACUAGGGGCAGUCGGAACAAGCGGUGGAGCGGUGAAAUGCGUAGAUAUCGCUUGGAACGCCGAAGGUGAAAACAGACUGCUGGGGUUGUCGCCGACGCUGAGACACGAAAGCCAGGGGAGCAAACGGG
rnacentral:rRNA from 1 species